CUCCCUGCCCAGCGCCUUGGCCUGGGCUACCAGCUCCUUGUCGGUGGGCGAGCGGUCAAAGGCGUCCAUGAUCUCUGCAGCAAGGACCGAGGAGCGGCGCAGGACCUCCAUGGCGAGCUCGCGGGCGGGGGGCGUCACACCUGCGAGGACAGCGCUCUGGGGACCGGGCUCAGGACAGAUUUGUACAGAUUGUUCAUAGUUCCUGGAUUAGAGCGUUCUAGUCUGGCACGAGUGUGAGUUCUAGAUGGAUACUUGUAUUUGUACUGGAGAUUUUGCAGAUAACUUCUCCCGUGCCGUGAUUCGCUUUUGCUUUUAAGGAACAAGAAGAUGCCAAGGAAGGGAAUACCUGGUCAAAUGGAACCUCUGGUUUUAGUUUUUUGAAGAAUCUCCACAUGGAUUUCCACAGUGGUUACCCCAGUCUACACUCCCACCAACCAUGGAGAAGAGUUCUUUAUUUUCCCACAGCCCCCUAGCAUUUGUUAUUGGUUGAUUUCUUUUUUUCUUUUUCUUUUUCUUUUUUUUUUUUUUUUUUGUCUUUUUCAUUUUUAUCAGUACCGGGGAUCGAACUCACGACCGCAUGCUUGCAAGGCAGGUGCUUAUGCCGCUGAGCUAAACCCCCAGCCCCCUUGGUUGAUUUCUUGAUCAUAUCCUUUCUCGAGUGAAAUGGACUCUCAGUGUUGUUUUAAUUUGCAUCUCUUCAACGACAAAUGAUGGUGAACAUUUUUUAGUAUAUUUAUUUUCUGCUUCUAUGUCUUUAUCUAAAAAAGACAUAUGCCCAUUUUUGUUUUUGAGACAGGGUGUCACUAUGUAUUGCAGGCUGGCCUUGAACUCGAUUAUGUAGCCCAGGCUGGCCUUGAAUUUAUGGUGAUCCUCCUACCUCGGUCCCUGAGUGCUAGAAUUACAAGUGUCAUGCCUGGCUUGAUGCCCUUUUUUGGAUCGAGUCUUUACCAAGCAGGUACUUACACCACUGAGAUAAACCUCAGGCCUGUGGACCGAGUCUUUAAAUUUGGGUCCUCUUUCUUUCUUUCUUUCUUUCUUUCUCUCUUUCUCUCUUUCUCUCUCUCACUCUCUCUCUUUCUUUCUUCUUUCUUUGUUUUUAAUCAGUACCGGGGAUCGCACUCACGAUGGCCUGCUUGCAAAGCAGGUGCUUAUGCCACUGAGCUAAAUCCCCAGCAAGUCUUUAAAUUUGGGAAGGAGGGUCUGAUUUUUUCGCGUUCUUUGUAUAUUCUAGAUAUUAGUCUUUUUUUUUUUACUCGGUACCAGGGAUCAAACUCACAACCGCCUGCUUGCAAGGCAGGUGCUUAUGCCACUGAGAUAAAUCCCCAGCCCCGAUAUUAGUCUUUUGUAUGACAGUCUUAUUUUUUUUUAUUUUAUUUAAGGAGAAAAAAAAAACAGAAAAAGGGUACAAGUUAUACAGAAUUUCAGAAAAAAUAAACAGUAGAAAAUCACUAGUUAAUUACAUAUUGUCAUCUUAGAAAUAGUUGUUCAAGUUACAAAAUUAAAGCAUAUAGAGGGGACUUUCAAACAGUGAGGACAGUCUAUUUUAAAUACUAGAUGAAAAACACUUCACCAAAACUGACACUAGAAAACAGAGAAGAUCUGGAUAGUUCUGUACCAAUUCAAUAAACUUAGCUCAUAAUGUAAGAUCAUCCCACAAUGAAGAUGGUUGCAGGUGGUUUCAUUGAGAAAGUCUUCUCAAUAGCUGAAGAACUGUCAUCAGUCUUAUAGAAAGUUGUAUGGGCUAGGGAUUUAGCUCAAAGGCUUAAGCGCCUGCCUGGCAAGCGUGAGGUUGUGAGUUCAAUCCGCGGUACCAAAAAACAAAAUAAAAUAAAAUAAAAUAAAAUAAAAUAAAAUAAA